rnacentral:rRNA from 1 species
AACGAACGCUGGCGGCGCGCUUAACACAUGCAAGUCGAACGAGAAGGCGUAGCAAUACGCUUGUAAAGUGGCGAACGGGUGAGAAUACAUGGGUAACCUACCCUCGAGUGGGGACUAACCCGACCGAAAGGCGGGCUAAUACCGCGUACGCUUCCGAUCUUGCGGGAUCGGAAGGAAAGCUGUCCCGAGGGGAUGGCGCUCAAGGAUGGGCUCAUGUCCUAUCAGCUUGUUGGAGGGUAACGGCCUACCAAGGCAUCGACGGGUAGCUGGUCUGAGAGGACGAUCAGCCACACUGGCACUGCGACAC